rnacentral:rRNA from 1 species
UCCUGGCUCAGGAUGAACGCUAGCGACAGGCUUAACACAUGCAAGUCGAGGGGCAGCACGGGAGUAGCAAUACGUUUGGUGGCGACCGGCGCACGGGUGAGUAACGCGUAUGCAACCUACCUAUCAGAGGGGAAUAACCCGGCGAAAGUCGGACUAAUACCGCAUAAAACAGGGGCACCGCAUGGUGAUAUUUGUUAAAGAAAUUCGCUGAUAGAUGGGCAUGCGUUCCAUUAGGUAGUUGGUGAGGUAACGGCUCACCAAGCCGACGAUGGAUAGGGGAACUGAGAGGUUGGUCCCCCACACUGGUACUGAGACACGGACCAGACUCCUACGGGAGGCAGCAGUGAGGAAUAUUGGUCAAUGGGCGGGAGCCUGAACCAGCCAAGUCGCCGUGAAGGAAGAAGGAUCUAUGGUUCGUAAACUUCUUUUGCAGGGGAAUAAAGUGCAGGACGUGUCCUGUUUUGUAUGUACCCUGAGAAUAAGGAUCGGCUAACUCCGUGCCAGCCGCCGC